CCCCCCACUUCCAGGUGUCAUUGUAAUAUAUCCCCCCCACUUCCAGGUGUCAUUGUAAUAUUUUCCCCCACUUUCAGGUGCCAUUGUAACAUAUCCCCCCC